UACAGAGGGUGCAAGCGUUGCUCGGAAUCAUUGGGCGUAAAGGGCAGGUAGGUGGUCCCAUUUGUCUGAGGUGAAAGCCUUCGGCUUAACCGAAGAAGUGCCUUAGAAACGGUGGGACUCGAGUGCUAGAGAGGGUUGUGGAAUUCCUGGUGUAGCGGUGAAAUGCGCAGAUAUCAGGAGGAACACCGAUGGCGAAGGCAGGUCUCUGGGCCACUACUGACGCUGAGGAGCGAAAGCGUGGGGAGCAAACAGG
rnacentral:rRNA from 1 species